GAUGAACGCUGGCGGCGUGCCUAAUACAUGCAAGUCGAGCGAACAGACGAGGAGCUUGCUCCUCUGACGUUAGCGGCGGACGGGUGAGUAACACGUGGGUAACCUACCUAUAAGACUGGGAUAACUUCGGGAAACCGGAGCUAAUACCGGAUAACAUGUUGAACCGCAUGGUUCAACAGUGAAAGACGGUCUUGCUGUCACUUAUAGAUGGAUCCGCGCCGCAUUAGCUAGUUGGUAAGGUAACGGCUUACCAAGGCAACGAUGCGUAGCCGACCUGAGAGGGUGAUCGGCCACACUGGAACUGAGACACGGUCCAGACUCCUACGGGAGGCAGCAGUAGGGAAUCUUCCGCAAUGGGCGAAAGCCUGACGGAGCAACGCCGCGUGAGUGAAGAAGGUCUUCGGAUCGUAAAACUCUGUUAUUAGGGAAGAACAAAUGUGUAAGUAACUAUGCACGUCUUGACGGUACCUAAUCAGAAAGCCACGGCUAACUACGUG
rnacentral:rRNA from 1 species